UCCCCAUCAGGAUACUAAGAGGUUACUUUGAACAUCGAGUAUAACCUGAAUCCAAGUGCCAGCUUUGUCACAAAUAUAUUUGAUGAUGGUACAGCUCCCAUAGCAACAGAAGAAGGUUGCUGUCUUAAGCCAUCUGCACUUCACCUGGAGCCGUUUGGCAGUAGAAAGUCUGCAGCUCUGCUUGCGUCAGAGUUACUGAGCAAGAACAUGAGUACAAAAAAGUCUGAAUUGUUGAAAACAAGGUGGGGGUGGGGUGGUUUGGUUUGUUCCCCCUCCUACUGCUCAGUUCCCAAAGUUUCAAGGUAGGAAAGGAAGUGCUUUCGUCAUGAGCAAGGUUUUCCCCUGUGAGUUUUACAUGAGCUGGGCAUUUCACUCCCCUGCUCACAUGGGAAUCUUCAGGUAAAUAGACAUGUCCUUUCUGUUUUGGUGCUCCGGUGUACAGAGGCUGAGGACAGAGGAAGGACAAACCUCCUGCCUUUAAUUUUGCUGAGGGUGUAAAAUGAGUCGAGGCUUUCUGCAGUCACUAUUCUAUUCAUAUCUUUUGUGUCCGAUGCUAUUUUUGUUGGCUGUGCCCCUGGAGGUGGAGGUGUGGAAGUGCAUUUCUGCUGGUCUUUGCAAGCGGUGUAGAUGUUUCCUCUGUUCCAGGCACCACCUCAGACGCUGUGGCCUUUCAGGGGGAGUAGGCGGAUGCCAGCAUGGCCAUUUCUCACCUGUCUGUAACUUUUUAGUACUUCCUUUUAUUUUGGCUUUGCAUUUCUUCCAUGGAACGAACAUCUCUGGGUAGCCACUGGGAGGUGUAAAUGGCUUGGUAUGGAAACCACAGCUUGUAGGUGCGCCCUCUGCCAGGCUUUUCUGGCACCCGAGGAAGCCCGGUCUCUGCCUGCUCCCAAGCGAAAGGGAUAUUACCAGCUGUCCGGUGAGAAAACAAAUUCCGAGAGAUACAGGAAAGUGUGUUAAGUUGGUGGGAAGCAACGGGCGUGAGAUUCCUGGCAGCUCGGGAGCAGAGGCACAAGGACAGCCACUGGAUGGCAUGAGCCAGAGCCGAACCUGUUCUGUGAGGAAUCCUGGCCUUCCCUGCGGGCGUAUUUCUUCUCACUUCCUUGUUUUACAGCCACAGCUUUGCAGGUCUGGGAGCAAUAGUCUUCUACCAGUUGGAAGGGAUGAUUCCCAGCUCUCUCAUGGAAAUCAUCAGACAGACGUUGGAACACACUGACAGAAAAGAUAUGACCUUAAUACAAUAAAGAAGCCCGUUUAGUUAUCUUAAAGUGGAGCUUACAUUUCUGUGCUCUGUAAACUUGGAAGUAAGGCACCUGAUAUGG